rnacentral:rRNA from 1 species
CGAGCGGCAGCGGGAGGAAGCUUGCUUCCUCGCCGGCGAGCGGCGGACGGGUGAGUAAUGUCUGGGAAACUGCCCGAUGGAGGGGGAUAACUACUGGAAACGGUAGCUAAUACCGCAUAACGUCUACGGACCAAAGUGGGGGACCUUCGGGCCUCACACCAUCGGAUGUGCCCAGAUGGGAUUAGCUGGUAGGUGGGGUAAUGGCUCACCUAGGCGACGAUCCCUAGCUGGUCUGAGAGGAUGACCAGCCACACUGGAACUGAGACACGGUCCAGACUCCUACGGGAGGCAGCAGAUGGGGAAUAUUGCACAAUGGGCGCAAGCCUGAUGCAGCCAUGCCGCGUGUGUGAAGAAGGCCUUCGGGUUGUAAAGCACUUUCAGCGAGGAGGAAGGCGUUGUAGUUAAUAACUGCAACGAUUGACGUUACUCGCAGAAGAAGCACCGGCUAACUCCGUGCCAGCAGCCGCGGUAAUACGGAGGGUGCAAGCGUUAAUCGGAAUUACUGGGCGUAAAGCGCACGCAGGCGGUCUGUUAAGUUAGAUGUGAAAUGCCCGGGGUUAACCUGGGAACGGUAUUUGAAACGGGCGGGCUAAAGU